rnacentral:rRNA from 1 species
GACGAACGCUGGCGGCGUGCUUAACACAUGCAAGUCGAACGGAAAGGCCCUGCUUUUGUGGGGUGCUCGAGUGGCGAACGGGUGAGUAACACGUGAGUAACCUGCCCUUGACUUUGGGAUAACUUCAGGAAACUGGGGCUAAUACCGGAUAGGAGCUCCUGCUGCAUGGUGGGGGUUGGAAAGUUUCGGCGGUUGGGGAUGGACUCGCGGCUUAUCAGCUUGUUGGUGGGGUAGUGGCUUACCAAGGCCUUGACGGGUAGCCGGCCUGGGAGGGUGACCGGCCACAUUGGGACUGAGAUACGGCCCAGACGCCUACGGGAGGCAGCAGUGGGGAAUAUUGCACAAUGGGCGGAAGCCUGAUGCAGCAACGCCGCGUGCGGGAUGACGGCCUUCGGGUUGUAAACCGCUUUCGCCUGUGACGAAGCGUGAGUGACGGUAAUGGGUAAAGAAGCACCGGCUAACUACGUG